AUCACACACAAACUCAGAAAGCCGGGUCUAAGUUGUAGAUUUUAUCGACACAUACUUCCCGAGGUGGAAGAGGUAGUGAUGGUGAAUGUAAGAUCCAUUGCUGAAGUGGGGGCUUAUGUCAGCUUGCCUGAGUACAGCAACAUCAAAGGCACGAUUCUUCUUAGGCACCCUUGUGAAAUGUCCAGAAGGUGUAUCUGUUCUAUAAACAAACUCAUCUGAAUUGGCAGGAAUGAAGGUGUGGUUGUCAUUAAGGGGGACAAAAAAAAAAAGGAUAUAUUGAUUUGUUAAAAAGAGGAGUUUCUCCAGAGGGAGCAAUCAACUGUGAAGACAAAUUCACAAAAAUCCAGAACAGUUGAUAGCAUUCUUCCUCACACUGCCGAAGUGUUAGAAUACACCGAAGACAAGCAGGCGGAAAGCAGUGGGCUGCCUGGGUCUGUGAUGACAAGAGACCCGGAUAUGGUGCCUGUGGUGCAUUUAAUCGUGCAGUUUCAGAUGCAUCUAUUUUGGAUAGUUUAGAUUUGAAUGAAGAUAAACAGGAAGUACCCAUUAACAAUAUUAAUAGGCAUCUGACCCCACAGGCUGUCAAAAUUCAAGUAGAUAUUGAAGUGGUUUGUGGUUAUGAAGGGAUUGAUGCUGUUAAAGAAGCCCCAAGAGCAGGUUUGGAUUGUUCUAUGGAAACCAGUCCCAUGAACACUAAUUCAAUAGCUCCUCCUUGGUAUGUGAGGACUACGACAACCCUGGAAAGAACAGAAGACCUUUCUGUCCUCGGUCAAGCUAUGGCUGUAGUCAACAAAAAGACCGAGGAAAAGAGGAAUGUGUUCAGUGUUCAAAGGGAUCCCAAAGAGGCCACAGAUACGGAUGAGACUGAAGUUGCCAGGCAGCUGGAGAGGCUUGAAAGAGAAAAUGUGGAAGUGGAUGGAGAUGAUGAUGCAGAAGAAAUGGAAGCCAAAGCUGAAGAUUAACCUUGUGGGAAAUAGAGUACAAUUUAAGUAACAAAGAGCAGGCCUUCCUGGCUGUAAACUCCAGACUUGAAAGUUUUCCAGUAUUGAAAACUUCAAAGCUAAAUAUUUUUUAUUUCCAAGUGUUUAAAUGUUCUAACAGACCAGAACAUGAAAUGGCCUCCUAAAUGUCAGCUGUUUUCACACAGUAGCUCCAACGCAUUAAGCAAUUUUUAAGGGA